GUUAGCCUUUUUCCUUCUUUGUUGUGCCAUUUUUAAAAAUGCCAUUACAGUUUUUCUUGCCUCACGUGUAAAUGUCUGUUGUGAAUAUGUUUUAGGAUGUAGUACAAGCUGGAUCGGUGUCCCAAAUAUGACAGGGAAGAAUCCAGAUUAAGUGUCAUAAAUAUAUCCUACUUCUCCAUGUAUCCCGAGGCCUUCCUUUUUUUGGCACUCGAUGAUUCUACAUUGAGGGAGAGCGUCCUCUCCUCACUUUGAGGCCGUGACGAGACGCUGAAUGAAAGCAAAAAUAGAGCCUGUCAGCGCCCACAGGAGGAACUCGUCAGGACCUCGCCCGCUUUGCCUGCCUGGUCCUUGAGGUUCUGGCUGGGAAA